ACAGACAUCAGUGAUUCAUUUUGCGAACCUUGCCCAACGGCCAGAUAAGCAUUCAUGCCCAGCUCUUUCAUCUGCUGCUCGCCGAUAACACGGGUGCUGACGUUGGGGCUGAAGCUAUCUGCCAAUUGGCGCGCCUGAGAUGCCAGAUAUCCUGCGUUACAGAUAUUCGGCGGCAUAUUGCCAAGAUCUUUCGC
rnacentral:antisense_RNA from 1 species